GCCGGGGUGGCGGAACUGGUAGACGCGCCGGAUUCAAAAUCCGGUUCCUUCGGGAGUGCCGGUUCGAUUCCGGCCCUCGGUACCA
rnacentral:tRNA from 1 species